GGAGUGGCGGACGGGUGAGUAACACGUGGGUAACCUACCCAUCAGAGGGGGAUAACACUUGGAAACAGGUGCUAAUACCGCAUAACAGUUUAUGCCGCAUGGCAUAAGAGUGAAAGGCGCUUUCGGGGGUCGCUGAUGGAUGGACCCGCGGUGCAUUAGCUAGUUGGUGAGGUAACGGCUCACCAAGGCCACGAUGCAUAGCCGACCUG
rnacentral:rRNA from 1 species